CUCCUGAACACGUGAAUCCUCCUCGUUCCCACCAUCAUCUAUCGAGUCCGAAUCAAGCGAAGAACUCUGAGAAGAAUCCUUAUCCUUAAUAUAACCCUUCUUUCUCUGUUGACAAAGCAAAUGGUGAAGUUGGGGAGAGCGUCACAGGCAUAAUCGACCUCCGCACCGUCCUCGAAGGCUUUGUAUCAGUUCUCAGCUCCACGAGGCUAAGAGAGAGCUGCAAAAUCGAAGACGAAUUACAUCAGGGAACAAGAUGUGCAGAUGUUGUUGAAGUUGAAAUGUGUUAAAACUUACAAGGAGCAAGGGGCUAAGCUCUGCUGCAGUGCUGCCACGGACGUUGAGAGGAAGGCUGAUCGGAAUCUCAUUUCCAUCAUAUGAAGAAGCAUAUUCUGCAAGGUUCAGUGAUGCAGUCCCGACUACAGCAUAGCUAUUUCGAAGUACUUGGUUUUCUCCCUGUAAUGAGUUAGUAAAAAAAAUAUUGAUCUCAAUUAGUGAUACCAUUUUAAGUGCUAAAUCACUGCCCCAAAAGACAGGAUAAACUGAUUGAGAGAGGCUGAAGGCUCCCACUCGAGCAAAAGAAAAUCUUGACAGACUCCAAUAUUUUACAAAGGGAAUAGAAAGGACCUCCCAAAGGCCCUUUCCUUCGUUUAACAUAGCGGGCCAAGACAAGGCUCGGGAUCUACCAAAUUAUUUUUAUAUGGUUUAUUUGUAACCACUUAAGUUACUACCCGCUAGCAGAUAUUAUUUGUUUUACUCCAUUAUAUAUUACUGUCAACGCUCACAGUUUCAGAACGCUUACAACUA